rnacentral:rRNA from 1 species
AGCUAUAUGCACUAAUAUAUAGUUAUUUCUGCUCCAUGAUCAUUAAAUAGCCGCAGUACUUUGACUGUGCAAAGGUAGCAUAAUCAGUUGGCUUUUAAUUGGGGUCUGGUAUGAACGAAAACAUGGGUGGUGACUGUCUAGAUAUAUUUUUUCUAACUUUUUAAUUAAGUGAAAAUACUUAUGCUAAUAAAAAAGACGAGAAGACCCUAGAAACUUGAAAAGUUUUUGUUGGGGCGACAGAGUUACAUGUAACUAAUUUUAUAGAACAUGACAUUAAUUGGAAAGAAUAAGUUACUCUAGGGAUAACAGCAUAAUUUUAAUAGUUUGUGACCUCGAUGUUGGAUUAGGUACUAUACCCUUUAGGCAAGGGUAUAAGACGCUCUGUUCGAGCAAAUAUACCUACAU